GACGAACGCUGGCGGCGUGCUUAACACAUGCAAGUCGAACGAUGAAGCCGGAGCUUGCUCUGGUGAAUUAGUGGCGAACGGGUGAGUAACACGUGAGUAACCUGCCCUUGACUCUGGGAUAACUGCUAGAAAUGGCAGCUAAUACCGGAUACGACCCUCGGAGGCAUCUCCAGGGGGUGGAAAGAAUUUCGGUCAAGGAUGGACUUGCGGCCUAUCAGCUUGUUGGUGAGGUAACGGCUCACCAAGGCGACGACGGGUAGCCGGCCUGAGAGGGUGACCGGCCACACUGGGACUGAGACACGGCCCAGACUCCUACGGGAGGCAGCAGUGGGGAAUGUUGCACAAUGGGCGCAAGCCUGAUGCAGCAACGCCGCGUGAGGGAUGAAGGCCUUCGGGUUGUAAACCUCUUUUAGCAGGGAAGAAGCGAAAGUGACGGUACCUGCAGAAAAAGCACCGGCUAACUACGUGCCAGCCGCCGCGGUAA
rnacentral:rRNA from 1 species